UCCCGCUUAUCACGGGCAGUUCCCCUAAAGUGCCCACCAUCCCGAAGGACGUGCUGGCAGCAUAGAACGAGGGUUGCGCUCGUUGCGGGACUUAACCCAACACCUCACGACACGAGCUGACGACAACCAUGCACCACCUGUCCACCAGCCCCGAAGGGAAACCCCAUCUCUGGGGCGGUCCGGUGAAUGUCAAGCCUUGGUAAGGUUCUUCGCGUUGCAUCGAAUUAAUCCGCAUGCUCCGCCGCUUGUGCGGGCCCCCGUCAAUUCCUUUGAGUUUUAGCCUUGCGGCCGUACUCCCCAGGCGGGGCACUUAAUGCGUUAGCUACGGCACGGAACCCGUUGAUAAGGCCCCACACCUAGUGCCCAACGUUUACGGCGUGGACUAC
rnacentral:misc_RNA from 1 species